GACGAACCGUGCGACCGUUAUUCGGAAUCACUGGGCUUAAAGCGCGUGUAGGCGGGGCGGCACGUCGGUCGCUGAAAGCCCCCGGCUCAACCGGGGAACGGGCGCCGAUACGACCGCCCUCGAGGGACGUAGGGGGACCUGGAACUUCCGGUGGAGCGGUGAAAUGCGUUGAGAUCGGAAGGAACGCCCGUGGCGAAAGCGAGGUCCUGGACGUCUGCUGACGCUGAGACGCGAAAGCCAGGGGAGCGAACAGG
rnacentral:rRNA from 1 species